rnacentral:snRNA from 1 species
CCACCGAGCGGCGGGUAGAAUCC